GAACUGAAACAUCUAAGUACCCCGAGGAAAAGAAAUCAACCGAGAUUCCCCCAGUAGCGGCGAGCGAACGGGGAGGAGCCCAGAGCCUGAAUCAGUGUGUGUGUUAGUGGAAGCGUCUGGAAAGGCGCGCGAUACAGGGUGACAGCCCCGUACACAAAAAUGCACAUACUGUGAGCUCGAUGAGUAGGGCGGGACACGUGGUAUCCUGUCUGAAUAUGGGGGGACCAUCCUCCAAGGCUAAAUACUCCUGACUGACCGAUAGUGAACCAGUACCGUGAGGGAAAGGCGAAAAGAACCCCGGCGAGGGGAGUGAAAAAGAACCUGAAACCGUGUACGUACAAGCAGUGGGAGCCUCUUUUAUGGGGUGACUGCGUACCUUUUGUAUAAUGGGUCAGCGACUUAUAUUCUGUAGCAAGGUUAACCGAAUAGGGGAGCCGAAGGGAAACCGAGUCUUAACUGGGCGUUAAGUUGCAGGGUAUAGACCCGAAACCCGGUGAUCUAGCCAUGGGCAGGUUGAAGGUUGGGUAACACUAACUGGAGGACCGAACCGACUAAUGUUGAAAAAUUAGCGGAUGACUUGUGGCUGGGGGUGAAAGGCCAAUCAAACCGGGAGAUAGCUGGUUCUCCCCGAAAGCUAUUUAGGUAGCGCCUCGUGAAUUCAUCUCCGGGGGUAGAGCACUGUUUCGGCAAGGGGGUCAUCCCGACUUACCAACCCGAUGCAAACUGCGAAUACCGGAGAAUGUUAUCACGGGAGACACACGGCGGGUGCUAACGUCCGUCGUGAAGAGGGAAACAACCCAGACCGCCAGCUAAGGUCCCAAAGUCAUGGUUAAGUGGGAAACGAUGUGGGAAGGCCCAGACAGCCAGGAUGUUGGCUUAGAAGCAGCCAUCAUUUAAAGAAAGCGUAAUAGCUCACUGGUCGAGUCGGCCUGCGCGGAAGAUGUAACGGGGCUAAACCAUG
rnacentral:rRNA from 1 species